UAGAAUGCUAGUGCUAACACACAGUGAAUGGCUUUUAUGCGAUAAUGAGAGCACUUUCGGUUGACCUAAAAAAAACGAUAUUAAAAAACCAACAAUAUACGUGCUGUUAUACCUGGUUAGAAAGCUUACGCUCUCAGCUACUGAAUAAACGAAUUUUCAAACAAGCCAGACUUAGCGUAUUUGCAUGCUAGUGCUAACAAAGAGCGAAUACGUUCUAUGACAUGAUGACAUAGCUUUCGGUUGACCUAAAAAAACGAUAUUAAAAAAACAAAAAUAGACGUGCUGUUAUACCUGGUUAGAAAGCUUAUGCUCUCAGCUACCGAAUAAACGAAUUUUCGAACAAGCCAGACUUUACUAAAAAGUGCAACAGCGCCGUCAACAAAACGUGUGCAGCAGCUUCAGGUCCGGUCUUACUCCAGAAAAAGACGUCAGCUUGUAAUACCACACAUACUGCAUUGAGUGCUCUGUAAGUUUGUAGUACAAACUGCCUUUAUCUACACAUCGUCGAUCUAAUAGGUGAGAGAAUAAGCUUUCUAACAAUGUAUAAUAUGUCAAUUUUGACUUUUGUAAUACCGUUUUAUGUUCCAGCGAGUUGGAAACUUUGGUCUCUUUAUAACUGCAUUACGCAUUCAGCUAGUGAAAGCAACGCUUUCUCACCCCAACGCAUUUGCUACAGUACACAACUCCGCUCGCUUGUUCAUGCACCCCUCGUUAUAACAGAAGUUACUAGUACUGGCUACCAGCCGAUGCUUAUUCACAGAAGCCGUAUGCAACUAUUUUAACACAUUUCUCGCCUCAUUUUCUUUCUUAGAAAUUUGGGUCGGCUAACACGUAAUAGGCUUACCUCUGUCUAUGAGUUGGUAUCUAAGGUAACAGAUUAAACUCUGAAUUGCAGCCCAGUUAAAUGUUUUUAUUUGAAUGGUACAAAUGAGCUGAACUUAACUUAACACCAUCAAUCAAUCAAAUUAAUCUCCCUAGCCCUGUCUUGAUUUUUAAAAUGGUGCGGUGGCGCAGUGUACAUAUAGGGUUUUUCUAGACCCUCUUAACUGGCCAGCUAGCUUUGUGAUUCGCCGUCACUCGUCACAGCAUACUGUGCGCAAAACACUGAUCUCAAGUAUUGAUGAAGGGUUCAUUUAGCUCUGAAUAUGCGUGUUGCAUAUCAACUCGUUGCCGUGAUGUUAUAGCAUGUAUACCACACUCUGUCUCUGCUUAUACUACAGAAACUGUUCGCUCCGUUCAGCACAAAGUCCACUUUGCGUUGGCGGCAACCACACUUCACAAUUUCUGCAGGAAUUGUCUAGUUAGUUUUAUUGGCUGUAACAGGCAGUAAUGUCUUAAGAUCAUUCUGGAAAAUAGUUAGCCCCGCCCACUCCCAGGGACUUGGUUGAGACUGUUUGUCGCACAGCAAGAGGGGAGAACGGGAGAUAAAAAAAGACGAUUAGAAGUAAAAAAUCAUAAUCGUUAAUUUAAGCAGUAAACCUAAAGAGUAGCUCCGUAAAUGACCCACGGACCAAAUAUUUUCCAGAUCGCACACUUCAAUCUCUUUCCUUGGGAUCUUGGCUGGGUUUUUUGGAUACCUGAGAAGAAACCUGUGAACCUAGGAUUCUCUCCCUGGCGAGCCGACCAGCUUGAUCAACUUGAUUCAUCCUCAUCCAUUGAGAAUGUCUGAUAUAAGUGAGAGCAUCAAGGACGCAGUCCUUUCUGUCCUGCCAAGUGUGCCAGAAGAAACGAUCUUACACCAGGGAGUAGAAAGCAAAGAUGACUUGCAGUACAUAAGAGAACAGGAAAUUGCAGAGGUUAAUCGACCAAUCCAGUGCAGAAAACAUUUAAAUGCAUGGAAAUGAGCAGAUGCUAUAAGUUGUGCUACCCCCCUACUCCAGUCCCCAGAAGGCAGUUCAUCGCUGUCAAGCUCCUUGAGAUCCAGUAGCCCUUCACCAUCACAUUCCAUUCGGCCACCAGUAAAGCAAAAAUGGCCAGAAACGUUCCAGGUACCCCAGGUAAUUGCAUCACAAUUUGUUCGUUUUUGAUUUCCAACAGAAUACGUUGAUCUGUAUUUCACAUAAAUUUUCUUGUUCUUUUCCAAGGCAACCCUGUACUUUGAGUAUUUUUUGUUGCAGCUGGCUAGAGUGUCGCCGGAUUGCGCAGGUAGGCUACGUGCGUUUCGAAUUCAUCAAACUAGUUAGUAUCAUAACGGCCAAUCAUUCACCAGCGAUAGCUUAGUAUGAAAGCAUGUUUACAUGUCAGUAUUGUGGUCACCAAUGCUUAACGAAGUAUGCGUUUGUUAGGCAUAUGAAAGUACAUGCGAGUCUUCCAACCGCGUUGUUUAAAUGCGCCUUUUUUGAUU